rnacentral:rRNA from 1 species
UUCGCAAUGCCCGAAAGGGUGACGAAGCGACGCCGCGUGUGGGAAGAAGGCCUUCGGGUUGUAAACCACUGUUGGGAGUUAGGAAAUGUGGAGGUGUUAAUAGCGCUUUCACUUGACUAAAGCUCCAGAGGAAGCCACGGCUAACUCUGUGCCAGCAGCCGCGGUAAUACAGAGGCGGCAAGCGUUGUUCGGAAUUAUUGGGCGUAAAGAGCACGUAGGCGGCUCUGCAAGUCAGCUGUGAAAGCCUUCUGCUUAACGGAAGAACGGCAGUUGAAACUACAGGGCUUGAGUGCGGGAGGGGAGAGUGGAACUUCUGGUGGAGCGGUGAAAUGCGUAGAUAUCAGAAGGAACGCCGGCGGCGAAAGCGGCUCUCUGGCUCGUAACUGACGCUGAGUGUGCGAAAGCUAGGGGAGCAAACGGGAUUAGAUACCCCGGUAGUCCUAGCCGUAAACGAUGGGCACUAAGUAGAGGGGUUUU